CGUUAUCCUAAUUUCUCGGUAGUAAAUGGUAAACUAUGUCGUUUAUCUAAAAAUAAAUAUCAUCUUAUUUCUCAACACGAUUGGAAAAUCGUUGUUCCCCGUGAAAAAUAUGUAGAAGUUCUUCGAAAAUAUCAUGAUGAGCCCUCUUCCGGUCAUUUCGGUGUGGCUAAGACCCACAAGAAAAUUUCUUCCAUAUAUUUCUGGCCUUCCUUAUUUAAAGAUGUAAAAUCAUAUGUUGACAAUUGUGAGGUAUGUCGUUCAUACAAGCCGGUCAAUACUGCUAGGCCUGGUCUGAUGGGUAACCCCCGUCAAGUUACUAAACCUUGGGAGGCUAUAUCAUGCGAUAUAUUAGGUCCUUUCCCUUCAUCUUAUUCUCGCAAUCAAUACUUAUUCGUGGUCUCUGAUUAUUUCAGUAAGUAUGUUCUUUUAUUCCCUUUGCGUAGUGCAACUUCUAAGGCCAUUGUGAAAUGUCUUGAGAAACAUGUUUUUCUAGUCCAUGGCGUAUGUCGUAUCCUGUAUACCGACAACGGUCCUCAAUUCACUUCUAAAGAGUUUAGAGAUUCUUUAACUUCUUUCGGAGUACCUCAUAUAUUCUAUAAUCCUCGAUACCAUCCUCAGUGUAAUCAAACUGAACGAGUGAAUCGUGAUGUUGUUCGUGCUAUUGCUUCCCUCGUGCGUUCUGAUCAUCGUAAAUGGGAUCAGAACAUUCAGGAAAUCCAGUGUGCGCUCAAUACUUCGGUCCACGAAAGUACAAAAUAUACUGCCUUUUAUCUAAAUCAUGGUAGAGAGAUGGUCAUCGAUGGUGCUACUUAUACCCAAGAUUCUUCACCUUGUGAUGGGUCUACCAUAGUAGUAGAUACCCAAACUUUUGCUUCUCGGUUGCCGCGUAUGGCUGAAGUCUUCAAGAAAGUUGAAUGUCACCUUAAAAAGGCAUAUCAACACAAUGUAAAAUAUUAUAAUCUUAGGAAGCGUCCUUUGGAAUUGCGGGAAGGUCAAAUUAUUUAUAAAAGAUGUUUUCCUUUGUCCAGCGCUCCCAAGCACUUUUCUGCUAAACUAGCCCCUAAGUUUGAAAAAUGUGUAGUGCAUAAAAAGCUAGGUAAUGUAGUUUAUUCAUUGAAAACCUUAGAAGGUAAACCUUUGGGUUCCUUCCACAUUAAAGAUCUUGUUGUUCGAGGUCCGAGUGAGGAAGUUUAGGUCUUCUCUCACUUUCAAGGUUGUGUUCUAAGGACAUUACCUGUUAAGUGGUCAUCCCUAUAGGAAGGUGAUCCAUUUGAUGAGGUUUCCCUCGUUCGAGUAAUAUCCGUAGGCCUUGUUUAUGCAUUUGGUGUGUGGUUGAUUACCACCCAAAUGACGCCAAGGAUAUUCCCUCUUAAUAAAUAAAAAGAAAAUAGAUUAAGUUUUUUUAAGUACUUAAAUAGUUUUUACUUGGAAUAAGUUUAGUGUCAUGGCCAUGACUAAGUAUAACGUAUGCAUAAGGUUUAGUCUAUUAUUUUAAAUUUAAAAGUUAGGUAGGUUUUCCUUUGCCAUGACUAAGUAUAACGUAUGCAUAAGGUUUAGUCUAUUAUUUUAAAUUUAAAAGUUAGGUAGGUUUUCCUUUGCCAUGACUAAGUAAAACGUAGGCAUAAGGUUUAAUCUGUUAUUUUAAAUUUAAAAGUUAGGUAGGUUUUCCUUUAACUUGACCAUAUUCAAGAUGUUUGUAUGUUUAUGUAAGGUUAAGCAGUGUUAGAUUUAAUUCUUUGAGUUGUCGUCUGACACCACCAGGGUGUUUCUUUGAUUUGUUUCAAACAUAUGUUGCCUAUGUGCAAUGUGUUUUCUUGGGAGAAUCCCCAAAUUUUAACUCUGGUAAGCACAAGGCUAGUGCGGAAUGUACUAAUCCUUUUCCCCUUGGAUUAUAGGAGAUGUGUUUUCAAGUUUGAUACAUGGUGAUCAUGUUUAUUUCUUUCCAUUCUUUUACCUUUGUAAGGUAAAUGUACGUUCAUAACAAGUUAACUCAUCAGGAGUCGCUUGUUAUUUCUCUUUCGUUACUAGAGUGUAGCGAAAAAUUUUAUUUAAAAAUUUAAAAUUUUUAAAUAAAAUUUUUCUUCCUCAACUAAAACGGAACUGUAACACGUUUUUUUUUACACUUCCCACUUGGCUGUAUGGCAUACAGGUGUGUGCCUACGCGCCGGGAAAAAGUUAUGUUCGUUUGACAUUUCGUUUACGCGAUGACGAUAGCAAUUUAGUCCCGUCGCGAUUAUUUCUUUAAAGUGGUGUAUAAGCCACAUAUAUAAUGAUGAAAGGAUGGUGAAGUCUUCUGUAUAAAAACAAUGGUUUAGUCCAUCGACUAGGGGGAAUGCUGUUAUAAUAUCGUCCCACGUGAUGUGGUGAGUGUAUUUACCUAUAAUUCCGCGUCGUAACGGGGUUGACAGAGCUGUAACAUGUCAUUUUGUUACAGGGGUCAAAGUCCACCGGCAGAGUCCAGUGUUAAAGUUCUACUAGAAUGAUCAACUGUAAAGACUAACUUCAAAAAUCAACUUCAAGAUCUUCCUUCAGGGUCUAGCUCCCCAGCCAUGACUACCAUUUGUGUUCAUUAUCUACUUUUACCGUCAGGGUCAGUUCCUGCUGCGGUCAUUAAUGUACAUAAUUCCAGUUUGGUGUUAAAAUCUCUGGAUACCCUCUAAAUAUCUCUUCUUCAUGAUUAAUUUAACUUAUUAUGGAUAGUGCCAUGCUCUCAAGAUGAUUUUCUACUAAUACAUGGAGUAUUUAUCCUCAAUACAUACUCCAUGCCUUUUUGUCAGGACCUGCCGUCCUGACACUUUACUUAUCCUCAUAGGAAUAAAACCUAGUUGUUUAGGUAUAAUACUAAGUUAAGAUACCAUGUUAUAGUAAAAGAUUUGUUUCUUAAUUUAUAUUAGGAUGGUUUGUAACCGACUGACUUCAUAUCAUUUUAUUUUGAAAUUGUUGAAUCAAUUAUACUAUUGUUAAAAGUGAAA
rnacentral:lncRNA from 1 species